rnacentral:lncRNA from 1 species
AAAGAGGAAUUCUGACCUGGUUGUGGGAUCAAAGAUAGGCUUUAUGGGAAAGCAGGGAACAGGACCAGGGAAAGUAAGGGGAGGAGAUACGCAGAGGAGAUGCUACAGCAAGAGAAAGUGUUGAGAAAUGAAAACUUCAAACUCUGCAGCCUCACACCCAAACUGAAACAAACCACAGAAAAGGAGCAAUAUACUCGCCGGCCACGUACCGUGUUUAGCCAAAAUCAACUGGCAGUAUUGAUGGAUACCUUUGAGAAGAACACUCAUCCAGACACUGAUGCUAUUCAUGAAUUGGCAUCAAAACUGAAUCUUGACGAAGUGGUGAUAAAGAACUGGUUUAAGAACCAGCGGAUGAAACAGAAGAAAAUCAGGCUAAAAGUGCAAGGAGAUGCAUCACCUGGAACAUCCACACAGCAGGUUUUGGAAGAGAAGGAGCCCCCACUACAAAAUCCUGCGACGAAUGCCUCACCAAUUGCUGGAUCUUCAGAUGACGGCAACCAUGAUCCACAGGAGCCCUCUGAGAGCCACAUCACCAGAAGAGAUGGAGCCCCUGUGUUGAGUUCAGCAGUGGACACUCCGCAUGAUAACGUCCAGGAUACGUGUAUGGGGGAUUUGGAUGUUCCUUGG